ensembl:lincRNA
AGAACUUCAGCAUAUCUUGCCCAAACAAGGGUAUUGUACUGGGUUGGGAAAGUCCCUUUCUAUCUCUAGUUUGCAGAGAUUUUAUAUUUGUGAUGAUUGCGCUUGACUGUGCAGCUUGGCUGGCUUGAGACCCUCCCAGUGGAUCGGUCAGGCACACUUGUGGCAUAUUGAAGACUCCUUCCAGUGAAGACGGGCAAGUUAAGUCUGUAUUACUGAGCACUGAGGAGUAUAGAACAUAUCAGAAUGGAAAGAGAAUAUUGCAUCUUUGUGGCCUUUCUUCAGAAUUUCUCCAAUGUAAGAUAUAUACAUGUAAGUACAUAAAUACAUUUAUAGAUUUAUGUAUUUUGGAAGUAAGGCUUAAAUUUACAUAAUUAGGAAGUAAGGUUUGAUUAAGAG